rnacentral:rRNA from 1 species
UACGUAGGGGGCGAGCGUUGUCCGGAUUCAUUGGGCGUAAAGCGCUUUAAGGCGGUUCGCUAAGUCGGGUGUGAAACCUCCAGGCUCAACCUGGAGACGCCACUCGAUACUGGCGUGACUAGAGUUCGGUAGGGGACCACGGAAUUCCUGGUGUAGCGGUGAAAUGCGCAGAUAUCAGGAGGAAUACCGAUGGCGAAGGCAGCUCGCUGGGACUGUACUGACGCUGAGGCGCGAAAGCGUGGGGAGCGAACAGG